UGAGUUUCGUCGCCUCCCCCAGGAGACUGUGUGCUGCCGAGCAAGGACUGAGGCAGGAGUUGACUGUUGUCCUUGGGUCCUGGGAGUGGAUGGAGCUAGCCAAGGAAGUCAGUGCUGCUCAAAUGGAAACCUGCAAGACCUCAGGAGGUGAAUAGCCUGGGACUGUCACUGGCCAGGCUGCUGGGAGCUGUGUGUUCCCCCAUAAACGGUAGCAACAGCACCCUGACAGAAGCCAAACAGCCCCGGCGGCAGAUAACGGGUGGACUUCAAACGGCUCCAGAAGGAACCCCACCUCUUGAAGGCUCCAUGCCCAACGCAGGGCUUGAACUCAAGACCCAACAUCAAGAGUUGCAGGCUCCACCCACUGAGCCAGCGGGGCGCCCCAGGUUCUAAUUUGAAUCUGAUGCCAAUUCCCUGGUGGAUGACGGUGAAGGAUGAUGACAAUGUCAGCCUUAACCAUUUUGUAGCACUUUGGUGUCAGGCCGGGUGUCGAGCAUGGCAUGCCAGCCUCAGCUGGUGACAGCCCCACACCGACACCCCCCCUCCCUCGGUUUACAAACCAAGUCAGAGAAGGUUCUGGGACUUGUUGGAGGUCCCACAUCAGGCAGCUGGAGCAGCUUGGCCUGGGAAUGGAAGAUGUGGGGUCGGCUGGAUUCACACCUGUCCUAC